rnacentral:rRNA from 1 species
GGAUGGACUCGCGGCCUAUCAGCUUGUUGGUGAGGUAAUGGCUUACCAAGGCGACGACGGGUAGCCGGCCUGAGAGGGUGACCGGCCACACUGGGACUGAGACACGGCCCAAACUCCUACGGGAGGCAGCAGUGGGGAAUAUUGCACAAUGGGCGCAAGCCUGAUGCAGCGACGCCGCGUGAGGGAUGACGGCCUUCGGGUUGUAAACCUCUUUCAGUAGGGAAGAAGCGAAAGUGACGGUACCUGCAGAAGAAGCGCCG